UCUCUCUCUUUAUUUAUACAAAUCUACAUAUGGGUUUACAGAGUUGCUGUACAUAUACUUUACAUAUUUACUACAACAAAUUAGGCUAAAGAAGUCACUGUUAAUGCCUUCUAUCUGAAAGCCUCUCUCUGUCCUGUCUGUAAACAACCACACAUUCACUGCAGUCUUGAAUUGCUGCCUGGUCCAGCCCUCAACACUUGGCUGCACGGUAACAAAAGUGUUCCACCAGCCGAUGGAUGUGUUCAGAAACUGUCUUUGUUGGUGCCACGUUCUGCACGUUGCACGUUCUGCCACGUUGGUGCAGCUCCCCAGGGAUGGGUGUGACAGCUCUGGUGGUGACUUCGGCAUGUCGGGCAGGCUGCCGGAGAGCCUGUAGGUGUGGCACCCAUUGCUGUUGCACCUUGAACAUGAUGGUGAGGCCCGCCAUGUCUCACCGGUGCUGGAGGGUGUGCAGUGCAAGCUGAAGGCCGAGCUCACUUUUCCUGAUGAGCCUCGCUGCUCGAUCCUGCACCUUAUCCAGGAGAGUGAGGUGCUUGUUUGCCAUGCUGCCCCAGGCCAGGCAUGCAUACUCCAAGGAGGAGCGGACCUACGCCUUGUAGAAUAACUCCAGUCCCUUGGCAUCAAGGAGGUAGGAGAUUCUCCUCAAGGAGGCCAGCUUCCCUGAGGCCUCUCUGGCGAAUCGCUCCACGUGGGUUCUGAAGGUCAACUUAUGGUUGUAAGUGACCCCCAGCGCCUCCACCUCAUCCCGCGGCGUCAGUGUUUCCCCUGUUGAAGGCUGCAACGUGGCUCAGGGUGGCAUUCAUGUCGUGGUUGGCUGCAGCUUCCUCCUCCAGUCCAUAGCUGUGGGAUAGGGGUAUGUCAUCUGCAAACGCCUUCGCGGUAGGAAUGAGGUGCAUCAGAUCAUUGACAUAUACGUUCCACAGCAAAGGGCUUAGGCAGCUCCCUUGAGGAACACCUGCCCUUAAGGGCUGUGGGUUUGAUUCCUGCCCAUUGAUGAUUACUUUGAGAUGUCUGUCUUUCAAGUAAUUCUCAUGGAGCUGGAGGAGUGCCCCGUCCACGCCUACAGCACGGAGCUUUGUUAUGAGGGCUGCGUGCCACACUUAGUCGAACGCCCCCUCGAUGUCAAGAGCCACGACAGCUGUGGUCUUCCCUUGGUCCAGGGCCCCACUCCACUCCGUCGAGAGGAGCAGGUGCAGGUCUGCUGCCGACCUCCCCUGCUGGAACCCAAACUGUCUGUUGCUUAGCAGGUGGUGCCUCUCAAGGUGCUGCGUGACACACACACACACACACACACACACACACACACACACACACACACACACACACACACACACACACACACACACACACACACACACACACACACACACACACACACACACACGCACACGCUCACACACACACACAC